rnacentral:rRNA from 1 species
GGGGAAUAUUGGACAAUGGGCGAAAGCCUGAUCCAGCCAUGCCGCGUGAGUGAUGAAGGCCCUAGGGUUGUAAAGCUCUUUCACCGGUGAAGAUAAUGACGGUAGCCGGAGAAGAAGCCCCGGCUAACUUCGUGCCAGCAGCCGCGGUAAUACGAAGGGGGCUAGCGUUGUUCGGAAUUACUGGGCGUAAAGCGCACGUAGGCGGACUAUUUAGUCAGGGGUGAAAUCCCGGGGCUCAACCCCGGAACUGCCUUUGAUACUGGUAGUCUAGAGUCCGGAAGAGGUGAGUGGAAUUCCGAGUGUAGAGGUGAAAUUCGUAGAUAUUCGGAGGAACACCAGUGGCGAAGGCGGCUCACUGGUCCGGGACUGACGCUGAGGUGCGAAAGCGUGGGGAGCAAAC